UACGGGGGGAGCAAGCGUUGUCCGGAAUUAUUGGGCGUAAAGAGCUCGUAGGCGGUUUGUUGCGUCGGCUGUGAAAUCCCGAGGCUCAACCUCGGGUCUGCAGUCGACACGAGCAAACUAGAGUGUUGCAGGGGAGACUGGAAUUCCUGGUGUAGCGGUGAAAUGCGCAGAUAUCAGGGAGGGAACACCGGUGGGCGAAAGGCGGGUCUCUGGGCAACAA
rnacentral:rRNA from 1 species